rnacentral:rRNA from 1 species
UACGGAGGGUGCAAGCGUUAUUCGGAUUUACUGGGUUUAAAGGGUGCGUAGGUGGACAGGUAAGUCAGUGGUGAAAUCUUCGAGCUUAACUCGGAAACUGCCAUUGAUACUAUUUGUCUUGAAUACUUUGGAGGUAAGCGGAAUAUGUCAUGUAGCGGUGAAAUGCUUAGAUAUGACAUAGAACACCAAUUGCGAAGGCAUCUUACUGGACAGUUAUUGACACUGAGGCACGAAAGCGUGGGGAGCAAACAGG